ACGAAGGGGGCUAGCGUUGUUCGGAAUUACUGGGCGUAAAGCGUGCGCAGGCGGCUGCUCAAGUCAGGGGUGAAAGCCCAGAGCUCAACUCUGGAAUUGCCUUUGAGACUGAGUGGCUUGAGUACGGGAGAGGUGAGUGGAAUUCCCAGUGUAGAGGUGAAAUUCGUAGAUAUUGGGAAGAACACCGGUGGCGAAGGCGGCUCACUGGUCCGGUACUGACGCUGAGGUGCGAAAGCGUGGGGAGCAAACAGGA
rnacentral:rRNA from 1 species